UUGAACGCUGGCGGCAUGCUUUACACAUGCAAGUCGAACGGUAACAGGCCUUCGGGUGCCGACGAGUGGCGAACGGGUGAGUAAUGCAUCGGAACGUGCCCAGAGGUGGGGGAUAACGCAGCGAAAGCUGUGCUAAUACCGCAUGUGAUCUGAGGAUGAAAGCGGGGGACCAGGCAGCAAUGUUUGGCCUCGCGCCUUUGGAGCGGCCGAUGUCAGAUUAGGUAGUUGGUGGGGUAAAGGCCUACCAAGCCGACGAUCUGUAGCUGGUCUGAGAGGACGACCAGCCACACUGGGACUGAGACACGGCCCAGACUCCUACGGGAGGCAGCAGUGGGGAAUUUUGGACAAUGGGCGCAAGCCUGAUCCAGCAAUGCCGCGUGCGGGAAGAAGGCCUUCGGGUUGUAAACCGCUUUUGUACGGAACGAAAAGGCUCUGGCUAAUACCUGGGGCUGAUGACGGUACCGUAAGAAUAAGCACCGGCUAACUACGUG
rnacentral:rRNA from 1 species